CUCUUGUCCUGUUUCAGCUGGCAGUUUCGUGAUCUCUCACACUGAAGCUUUACCUGCAUUUACCCCACCUGCAUCGAAACAUUGAUCCACGACACUUCCACCGCCGUCCACACUCUCUUCGUGGCGGCGACGACUGCGAGAUCCAGUGGGGGCUGCUACAAGGAUGGCGAGAUCUAGCUUGGGUGGGGGCAUGACGAUGGCGAAUUGGCGGGGGCGGUCUCGGUUCUUGUUAGAGAAAGAGAGCCUGCGGGGGUGGACGGUGUUGCAACAGGGACGGUGACAUCUAGCAGGCAUGACGAUGGCGAGUGGCGGGUGCUCUCAAUUCGUGGAGAGGAGGCCAACGGCGUCUUGGUUCUUUGGGAUUGCAAAAUUGGAGAGAGAGAGUAAUAAUAGAAGCUUGAUUCUAGAUUUGAAGUAAAAUGACCACAAUGCCCUUGUAAAACAGUCGCGUGCAACUCGAGUGUUAAAUUCUAUCUAAAAUUUGAUGGAUGUGAGCAAAAGGACCAUCGAUAUAACACACUCACGAAUUUAAGGGGUCAACAUAAUUUCCAGUUCAGGCACUGAUUUAUGGAACGCAAUAAGAUUAGGGGAUAUUCAUGCCCGAAAGGAUUGUUAUAUUUCCAUCCAUCCAUAAAACCUCCUGCUAUUUUCUCCAUUUAUUAGGAAUCUUGUUUUGAACUUUACAUUGACUAGAGGCCCUAUUACUACGUUCCAAAGGCCUUGUCUAGAAGAGCGAACUUUUAUGGUGUUAUAAUUCUGUUUUUAUGUCUAAAUUUUGUGUUUUUGACAUUGUGUUGCGCCGUGCAGGGUUCAUACCAACUUAUAAUGAAGGUAAUAGACGGAGAGAAUCAGAA